UCAUAGAUUGAGAGCCAUGGUUUGGGUGGU
rnacentral:piRNA from 1 species